UCCAGCAUAAAUAAAAUUAGUUCUACAUUUUGUUUAGUUCAAUGUCUAGUAUGCACUUGAAUUCAAUUCUUACCUUCCUUCUCCUUUCUGCGGCAGCAAUCUUCUCAUCAAUGUCCUGACGUGUCAACAUCCCUUCUCUCUUAGGCGUCAACUGUGGCUGUCUGGCAUUCUCCACUCUUGGGCUGAGGAUGACCUCGUAGCUGAUGGCCUUGGCAGCACCUGGAGUCGAGUUUGACGACUGUUCACCAAAGUCUAACACUACGACAAAUAUAAGGUAGGAUUAAAUUUCGGGUGGAAUUUUCAUACAUUGAUUUAUUAGACCUAACUUAGGAACAGUUGCGAAAAAUACAACUAUAGAAUCUCUGGCAGGAAUCAAACCUGCUGAACUCUAACCAACUGAGCUACAGAGAGACAGUUGUCGAGCUCUAACCAACUGAGCUACAGAGAGACAGUUGUCGAGCUCUAACCAACUGAGCUACAGAGAGACAGUUGUUGAGCUCUAACCAACUGA